AUUGAACGCUGGCGGCGUGCUUUACACAUGCAAGUCGAACGGUAACAGGGUGCUUGCACCGCUGACGAGUGGCGAACGGGUGAGUAAUGCGUCGGAACGCACCGAGUAAUGGGGGAUAACGCAGCGAAAGCUGUGCUAAUACCGCAUACGCUCUGAGGAGGAAAGCGGGGGACCUUCGGGCCUCGCGUUAUUCGAGCGGCCGACGUCUGAUUAGCUAGUAGGUGAGGUAAGAGCUCACCUAGGCGACGAUCAGUAGCGGGUCUGAGAGGAUGAUCCGACACACUGGGACUUAGACACGGCCCAGACUCCUACGGGAGGCAGCAGUGGGGAAUUUUGGACGAUGGGCGCAAGCCUGGUCCAGCCAUGCCGCGUGCAGGAAGAAGGCCUUCGGGUUGUAAACUGCUUUUGUACGGAGCGAAAAGGCUCUCUCUAAUACAGGGGGUUCAUGACGGUACCGUAAGAAUAAGCACCGGCAAACUACGUGCCAGCCGCCGCCGUAA
rnacentral:rRNA from 1 species